rnacentral:rRNA from 1 species
CCUACGGGUGGCUGCAGUGGGGAAUAUUGGUCAAUGGGCGCAAGCCUGAACCAGCCACGCCGCGUGAGUGAUGAAGGCCUUCGGGUUGUAAAGCUCUGUGGGGAGGGAAGAAAACGGCAGGUAAGAAACGACCUGUUCUUGACGGUACCUCCUUAGCAAGCACCGGCUAACUCUGUGCCAGCAGCCGCGGUAAUACAGAGGGUGCGAACGUUGCUCGGAAUUACUGGGCGUAAAGCGCAUGUAGGCGGGUCGGCAAGUCAGAUGUGAAAUCCCCG